CCCUUAGAUGUUCUGGGCCGCACACGCGCUACACUGAAGGAGGCAGCGUGUACUCCUGGAUCGAAAGAUUUGGGUAACCCGCGAAUCUCCUUCGUGCUAGGGAUUGAGGUUUGCAAUUAUCCUUCAUGAACGAGGAAUUCCCAGUAAGUGCAAGUCAUAAGCUUGCGCUGACUACGUCCCUGCCCUUUGUACACACCGCCCGUCGCUACUACCGAUUGCAUGAUUUAGUGAGGACUUCGGACUGGGACCGAUGCGGCUUUCGGGCUGCGUCGGUAUUCUGGAAAGAUGUCCAAACUGUAUCAUUUAGAGGAAGUAAAANUCGUAACA
rnacentral:rRNA from 1 species